rnacentral:lncRNA from 1 species
GAUUCUGGUGGACCUGUCUAUUUUUAUGAGUUUCAGCACAGACCCCAUUGCUUUCAAAACUCAAGGCCAGCCUUCGUGAAGGCUGACCACACAGACGAAAUCCGCUUCGUUUUUGGAGGCCCUUUCCUGAAGGGCGACGUGGUCAUGUUUGGAUGAAGCUAAAUGAUUGCCAUAAAGCAAACAGUGGGAACUUAAUACAUGCUUUUCCUCAGCAGUGGCCUCACACUCCGGGUGAAGAGAGGCCUCUCCAAGCUGGAAACAAUGAUUAGCCUUAGUGUUGGGGAGGUAAAUUCCUUAGACUCUAGAGUCUAUGAAGUCUGUACGACAAAAACAAGCUAAUAAAAACUUGAACUUGAAUGG